ensembl:snoRNA SNORA70 Small nucleolar RNA SNORA70
CCACAGCUACUUAAUCCCACUUCACUUAUCAUCUCUCUGAUGGAAGCUCAGCAUACAGUGACUGCCAAAGCAGAUUCCCUGGUUAUGUAUACAACUCAUUCCUGGUUUCUGUUGUUUGUGUUGCUCUAAGGGACCUUGAGUACAUCA